rnacentral:rRNA from 1 species
AUUGAACGCUGGCGGCAUGCCUUACACAUGCAAGUCGAACGGCAGCACGGGAGCAAUCCUGGUGGCGAGUGGCGAACGGGUGAGUAACAUAUCGGAACGUGCCCGGUAGUGGGGGAUAACCCGGCGAAAGUCGGACUAAUACCGCAUACGACCUACGGGUGAAAGCGGGGGAUCGCAAGACCUCGCGCUAUUGGAGCGGCCGAUAUCAGAUUAGCUAGUUGGUGGGGUAAAGGCCUACCAAGGCGACGAUCUGUAGCUGGUCUGAGAGGACGACCAGCCACACUGGGACUGAGACACGGCCCAGACUCCUACGGGAGGCAGCAGUGGGGAAUUUUGGACAAUGGGCGCAAGCCUGAUCCAGCCAUGCCGCGUGCGGGAAGAAGGCCU